AGGCAUCUGAUGGAAGAGGUUAUGGCUGGGUUGCUCUGCACAAGUACCAUUUGGAUGUGGAGAAUUCACUGGCUUGGGUUUGUGUUUUAUUGAGUAGCAAAAAAUAACCCUUUGAUUUUCUGCUGUGUUGUACAAUCGUUUCUGAAAAGAGCUGUGGGGCUGGCAACAGACUGCAGAGUGAGAGACUGCACAUACUCCAUGUGGGAUUGGGGUGGCACGUGCCUUUCGUGCAUUGUUGCAAUGGGCCAUUUUACCUGCUUUUUGGGAAACAGCAGGGGGGGGUCUCUUCCCUGAUUAUGUGAAUAAUUAGAUCUGUUUCAGUACUUAAGAGGGAUUGUUAUACAGUGCAAUUUCAGGAAAGCCAGCUUGUUUGGAGUGGGGCACAGCCAUACGGGUAGAAGAGAGAUGCCAUACUCUGUACCAGUAACCUCCUCAGCCUCCUUGAGGGGACUUAAUCAGGCUCCUAGCUGCGCUCAGGUGGGCUCUGACAAAUUCAGGCCCAGCUGCCUAAAGUCCUCCAUUUGCAAAGGUAUUUUGUUCUGAGACUGCCGUUUAGCUGGUCACUGUGUUCUGCCAGCCUCAAGGAGAGCAGUUGGUGGCAGCUGUGCAGGGUCAGGACCUCAUAGAAAGUGUUUUCUACACCUAAAUUAGGUGUCUGGACACUUUUGUGCUUCAGAGGUAUGCUGCAAACUGAGUGGUGGUGGAGGCUGUGAAGUGUGAUGGUGCAUAAGGUCCUCAGCAAUGAAGAGGUACUGCAGUGCAGCAUUUCCCUGGAUUACUCUGCCACCCCUGUUGAACCAGAACAUCAAAGGUACAAAUCUUCUGCAAACUUUUGGCCUCAUUUCAGCCAGUUUAUGUGAUAUCUGAAGUACAUUCAGCAGUAAAUUGCACUGGAAGCUGUUCUUUUGGAUUUUCUAUUUAUGCAAUGCAAGUUGAUGUGAAUUUGAAUUCAGAUCAGUGAUCUUGUCAGAGUUGCCAUAGGUAACUAUAUGCAGACCUAGAAUGUCUUCCUCUAGAUCAUAUCUAUGGAUGGUCUGCACACAAAACUGAAGUUUAAAUCCCACAGGAACUGUAGUGCUGCCUUUGAACUAAGCUCCAAAGUGCUGAAGGAAGGACGGACACACAGCAAAGGCUUUACUUUGGGUGGGCCAUUUCUAAAAUGCAGUUUCUUUCUACUUCAAAGUUUCAACUGAAUCGGUGCUGCCAGGUUGCAAAGAAUUAUUGCCUUUUCCUGUAUUCAUGGCAGACCAAAUCCUACAACUCUCUGAAAGCACAGGCUGCACUUGUAAAUACACCUUAAAAGUGGACAGUUUAUUCAACAAGGAAUAAAUAAGCCUCAAGCAGAACAUUUUGUUUCCUUCUUCAUGCAAAGGCAACCAUUUAUUUUCUUCCACUAUGUAAGGCCAAGGGACUGCACUCCAGUCAGUCAAUUUGAUAGCAUAACAUAGCG